rnacentral:rRNA from 2 species
GCAGUCGAACGAGUUCUCGUUGAUGAUCGGUGCUUGCACCGAGAUUCAACAUGGAACGAGUGGCGGACGGGUGAGUAACACGUGGGUAACCUGCCCUUAAGUGGGGGAUAACAUUUGGAAACAGAUGCUAAUACCGCAUAGAUCCAAGAACCGCAUGGUUCUUGGCUGAAAGAUGGCGUAAGCUAUCGCUUUUGGAUGGACCCGCGGCGUAUUAGCUAGUUGGUGAGGUAAUGGCUCACCAAGGCGAUGAUACGUAGCCGAACUGAGAGGUUGAUCGGCCACAUUGGGACUGAGACACGGCCCAAACUCCUACGGGAGGCAGCAGUAGGGAAUCUUCCACAAUGGACGCAAGUCUGAUGGAGCAACGCCGCGUGAGUGAAGAAGGCUUUCGGGUCGUAAAACUCUGUUGUUGGAGAAGAAUGGUCGGCAGAGUAACUGUUGUCGGCGUGACGGUAUCCAACCAGAAAGCCACGGCUAACUACGUGCCAGCAGCCGCGGUAAUACGUAGGUGGCAAGCGUUAUCCGGAUUUAUUGGGCGUAAAGCGAGCGCAGGCGGUUUUUUAAGUCUGAUGUGAAAGCCCUCGGCUUAACCGAGGAAGCGCAUCGGAAACUGGGAAACUUGAGUGCAGAAGAGGACAGUGGAACUCCAUGUGUA